ensembl:lncRNA
AUGUAUCCAGCCCAGAUGGUGGAUUUCUGGUUUCUCCCAAGAAGCGUUUUGGCUGAUUGGUUGAAAACAACCUGUGCUCGCGCCUGUGAUCGUGUACUUCCGGGUGUCGCGCCAGCGGAGCAGCUGCCAUUGAAUGAACGGGCGCGUUCCCGUGAGCGGAGGAGCGGCGGCGUGACGGUAACCGAAUUACUGUUUCCCUGUAGUUUACAGUCUGUAAACGAUUCGAUAGUAGCGGAUAUAAGGACAACGAACAGCAUUGUAACAGUUUGCAGGUGUAAAAAAGGAACAUUUCGAGUUACGCUUCUGUAAAGAUGGAGUUUAUUAAAGAGGAGAGUGAAGACGUGAGUGAUGCAGAAACGCAAAGAGAGAAAGAAGAAGAAACUGAGGAACAGAGAGGUUGGUGAUGAUUAUUGAUUCUUCUUUAAUGACUGAUGUGUGUGGGGAAAAAAUCAUAUGAGCCGUUAAAUAAUAAAUUAGUUUAUUUCCCC